rnacentral:rRNA from 1 species
GAUGUGGCGCAUGCCACGCCUUUGAAAGAUGGUUUCGGCUAUCGCUUACAGAUGGGCCCGCGGUGCAUUAGCUAGUUGGUAGGGUAAUGGCCUACCAAGGCAACGAUGCAUAGCCGACCUGAGAGGGUGAUCGGCCACACUGGGACUGAGACACGGCCCAGACUCCUACGGGAGGCAGCAGUAGGGAAUCUUCCGCAAUGGACGA